rnacentral:rRNA from 1 species
GGUGAGUAACACGUGGAUAACCUACCUAUAAGACUGGGAUAACUUCGGGAAACCGGAGCUAAUACCGGAUAAUAUUUUGAACCGCAUGAUUCAAAAGUUAAAGACGGUCUUGCUGUCACUUAUAGAUGGAUCCGCGCUGCAUUAGCUAGUUGGUAAGGUAACGGCUUACCAGGGCAACGAUGCAUAGCCGACCUGAGAGGGUGAUCGGCCACACUGGAACUGAGACACGGUCCAG